rnacentral:rRNA from 1 species
ACGAACGCUGGCGGCGUGCUUAACACAUGCAAGUCGCACGGAAAGGCCCUGCUUUUGUGGGGUGCUCGAGUGGCGAACGGGUGAUUAACACGUGAGUAACCUGCCCUUGACUUUGGGAUAACUUCAGGAAACUGGGGCUAAUACCGGAUAGGAGCUCCUGCUGCAUGGUGGGGGUUGGAAAGUUUCGGCGGUUGGGGAUGGACUCGCGGCUUAUCAGCUUGUUGGUGGGGUAGUGGCUUACCAAGGCUUUGACGGGUAGCCGGCCUGAGAGGGUGACCGGCCACAUUGGGACUGAGAUACGGCCCAGACUCCUACGGGAGGCAGCAGUGGGGAAUAUUGCACAAUGGGCGGAAGCCUGAUGCAGCAACGCCGCGUGCGGGAUGACGGCCUUCGGGUUGUAAACCGCUUUCGCCUGUGACGAAGCGUGAGUGACGGUAAUGGGUAAAGAAGCACCGGCUAACUACGUG